rnacentral:lncRNA from 1 species
AUGAGAAACCCCACCAGAGCUGAGGCAGUGAGACAUCUCUUCUCCCCAUCCCUUAUCAUCUGCAGGCACCAAAAAGCAAUACUCCUCAUAAGGCAGCCAUCCAGCAAAUUCCCACCCAACACAUGGAGGAGAAGACCAGACAACCAGUGCAUGUAUUUUCAGCCAGGCUCUAGGUGGAAUUUGAAAAUGGGAGUGCCAGGUGUGACAGAGGUGACAGGAAACCAAGGGUUGCCAGAUUCACAGAUGACCUCAGCAGAGCAGUUCAGCACGUGAUCCAUUACCCGCUUGUUCUUCGUUUGUCUCAAGCCAGCCAAGCCCAUAUGCAUCCAUAGCUCUGGUGAGGCUGUGCUGGGAUGAUCACUGCAGUGGGAGUAGUCAGGGCAUGCCUCCUCAGGCCUACAGCUGAUGCUGAGGAGUCCAUGUCAUGGCCAUAUGAAAUAGCUCAUUUCCUAAGCCCCCUUACUUAGUGUUACACCAAGACCUGAUGGCUCUGGGGAAAGCUGAGUAAUGUCUUUUUCUAUCUUAAUUCCCUGGUGCCCUUUUAUGGAAGCUUUGGCAAUGAGAGAUGGCCCACACUAGAGAAGUCCCAUGGGCUGGACUCACCUAAGUCUCUGUCUCCAGUGCUCAAAUUUUCUGCCCCUGCCAUUUUGCAAUUAAUCAGAUUUUCUAUACAGCACAUUACACAAAGCAUGCAGCCCCUGCCUUAUUACAGACACACUAAUUUUAAAUUUCAAUUAGUUGUGAUUUUGCUAAGACUCUCAGUGCUUUCACCUCAGGAAGUGCUCAGGAUUUCUCUGACCUUAGUCUGCAGUUUCCCUCUAAGCCCCAUUUUCCCCAGUGCUGCCACCAAAGCUCAGUGUCACUGUGGUAGGAUUGGACCCAUGUGCCUUAGGACACAGUCAAAUGUGUGGUGACCCAAUAAAACAGGAGUUGGGAAUUUUACCA